rnacentral:rRNA from 1 species
GCAGUCGAGCGGAUCAAAGGGAGCUUGCUCCCUGAGAUCAGCGGCGGACGGGUGAGUAACACGUGGGUAACCUGCCUGUAAGACUGGGAUAACUCCGGGAAACCGGGGCUAAUACCGGAUAACUCAGUUCCUCGCAUGAGGAACUGUUGAAAGGUGGCUUUUUGCUACCACUUACAGAUGGACCCGCGGCGCAUUAGCUAGUUGGUGAGGUAACGGCUCACCAAGGCGACGAUGCGUAGCCGACCUGAGAGGGUGAUCGGCCACACUGGGACUGAGACACGGCCCAGACUCCUACGGGAGGCAGCAGUAGGGAAUCUUCCGCAAUGGACGAAAGUCUGACGGAGCAACGCCGCGUGAGUGAAGAAGGUUUUCGGAUCGUAAAACUCUGUUGUUAGGGAAGAACAAGUGCCGUUCGAAUAGGGCGGCGCCUUGACGGUACCUAACCAGAAAGCCACGGCUAACUACGUGCCAGCAGCCGCGGUAAUACGUAGGUGGCAAGCGUUGUCCGGAAUUAUUGGGCGUAAAGCGCGCGCAGGUGGUUUCUUAAGUCUGAUGUGAAAGCCCACGGCUCAACCGUGGAGGGUCAUUGGAAACUGGGGAACUUGAGUGCAGAAGAGGAAAGUGGAAUUCCAAGUGUAGCGGUGAAAUGCGUAGAUAUUUGGAGGAACACCAGUGGCGAAGGCGACUUUCUGGUCUGUAACUGACACUGAGGCGCGAAAGCGUGGGGAGCAAACAGG